GAAGGAUCGAGGCAGCUUCAGCUGCAUCAAGGCAUGCUGAGAAUUUGGAUGCUAUCGUUAAGGCUGCGGAACUGGCAGCUGAAGCUGUGUCACAUGCUGGGAAAGUUGUUGCGUUGGCUGAUCCUUUGCCUCUGACUCAAUUGGUGGAAGCUGGUCCAGAUAGCUACUGGAAAGUUUCCCAAACACUCUCUGGGCAGGGUAUCAAGUCUAACAAGGUUAAUGGGGAUGAAUCGGGUAGUCCCGUUGUCGAAAAGACUCCUGGCAUCUUUUCCAAGCAAUCUGAGGGUCCAUCUGUUGAAGAGAUGCAUCCCAUGGUUCCUGCUUGCCAGACUACUAGUGUAUCUGGUAAUAUCAUAGAGGACAACAUGAGGAAUGAAGAAGUUAUUCGAACUCCCGUUACAAGUGUUGAAAAAGAUGUAAGAGGAGCAAAGGGUCAUAGUAUGCCAGAGGUGAGUAAGACUGUCGCUGUAGCUGCCGAGUCAUCCCAUGAUCUGGUUGAAGCACGUGGAGAUGUGGCAAGCUCCAGGAUGCAAGAGGGUUCCCUCGUGGAGGUUUUUAAAGAUAGUGAUGAUGGUAAGAGAGCCUGGUACUCAGCCAAAGUGUUGACUUUAAAGAAUGGAAAAGCUCUUGUUUGUUUCACCGACCACCAGUCUGAUGAAGGGCUUGAACAGUUUAAGGACUGGGUACCUCUAGAUGCUGGAAGUGAUGAACCACCAAGAAUACGUCCUGCGCAUCCGGUGACUGCUAUGCAAGGAGGAAAAAAGAGACGAAGAGCAGUUGUUAAGGAGCAUACAUGGUAUGUAGGAGAUAGAGUUGAUGCAUGGAUCGACUACCGCUGGCGAGAGGGUGUCAUUGCCGAGAAGAACAAAAGGGACGAGACUACAUUUAGUGUCAACUUUCCAGCUUAUGGAGAUACUGCAGUUGUCAGAGCAUGGCAUCUCCGACCAAGCCUUGUAUGGAAAGAUGGAGAGUGGGUCGAAUGGUCCAGGUUAAGACAUGACUUCUUGUCCCAGGGUGAUACACCUAAGGAGAAGCGAGUGAAGCUGGGCAAUCCUGCUAGUGAGGAUACUGGAAAUAGUCUGUCAAAAAAAAUGGAUCCACUGGUGCCAGUGACAAAUGAAUCAGCAACAUUGCUUCCUUUGUCUGUCACUGAAAAAACAUUUGAUAUUGGUAGUAACAAAGAUGACAGUAAGCCCAAUACACUUAGAACAAUGAGGUCUGGUUUGCACAAAGAGGGAUCAAAAGUCUUUGGUGUUCCUAAGCCAGGAAAGAAAAGGAAGUUCAUGGAAGUAAGCAAGCACUAUGUUUCAGACAGAACAGCUAAGAGUAAUGCGGCACAUGGUUCAGCCAAGUUCACAAAAUUUUUGAUGCCUCAAGCAACAGGCACUGGUGGAUGGAAAACCAAUUCUAGAACUGAUUUGAAGGAGAAACAACAAACGAUUGAAACUCGACGGAAACUUCCUAAAUCAAGUAAGCCUUCAAGCUCAGCUAGAACUUUGAAGGAUAAUAGUAUUACAUCCACUAGAGAUGCUAGUGGAGCUGAGCACAUGGUAGGUGAUGCAAUUGAGUAUGAUAAGAAUGAAGCACAACAGCCUAAUGUGGGGAAUUUUGUGUCAAAUGCGGAAGAAGGGGUUGAAGUUGUGAAAUUUCGUUCAGAAGCUCUUCCCACUAACAUCCCAAAGAAAGCUUCCACAUCAUCUAACAGAGGGGAGGGCAUGAAGAAGAGAAUCCCCAUAUCCAAUUUGAAGUCGAGCAAAGUUGAAGUAAAGGACAAAAUGAUACCUGAAGUCAGUGAACCUCGCAGGUCAAACCGAAAGAUUCAACCAACAUCAAGGUUACUGGAGGGACUACAAAGCUCGUUGAUUAUCUCUAAGUUUCCAUCUGUUUCACAUGAUAAAAGUAGCAGAAGUCAUAGCAGGGGUGCAUCAAGGUAAAGGAGGAGAGUGCUUUCAAAUGUUUCUGCUUAGCCCAGAUGAUCAGGAUGCCUAGUGUUUGAUGUUUUCCUGUACAUUUAAUUAUAGAGUUGAAAAUUGGGAAAGGGAAGUUCUCACUUCCUGGCUGUAAAAUUUAGGCAUUAGAUGUUCAUAAAUGAUUUGGUCCUUUACAGAAUUUGUGAAGGACUCUUCUAGCCGGAGUAGGUUGUAAAUGGGAUUGUCGAUGUCAGUUGUUAAAAAAUGCUAGAGUUAUU
rnacentral:misc_RNA from 1 species